AGCGAACGCUGGCGGCAGGCUUAACACAUGCAAGUCGAGCGGGCCUUUCGGGGUCAGCGGCGGACGGGUGAGUAACGCGUGGGAACGUGCCCUCUGGUUCGGAAUAACUCAGGGAAACUUGAGCUAAUACCGGAUACGCCCUUUUGGGGAAAGGCUUGCUGCCGGAGGAUCGGCCCGCGUCUGAUUAGCUAGUUGGUGAGGUAACGGCUCACCAAGGCGACGAUCAGUAGCUGGUCUGAGAGGAUGAUCAGCCACACUGGGACUGAGACACGGCCCAGACCCCGCGGGGGGGCAGCAGGGGGGAAUAUGGAAAAAGGGGCCAAGGCCUGUCACCCCCUGGCGGCGGGAGGAGUAAGGGCUUGGGGGUGGAAAAGCUCUUUUAUCCGGGAAGAUAAGGCGGGUACCGGAGAAAAAAGCCCGGCCUACCUUCGUG
rnacentral:rRNA from 1 species